rnacentral:rRNA from 1 species
UACGAAGGGGGCUAGCGUUGUUCGGAAUUACUGGGCGUAAAGCGCACGUAGGCGGGUCGUUAAGUCAGGGGUGAAAUCCCAGAGCUCAACUCUGGAACUGCCUUUGAUACUGGCGACCUAGAGUUCGGAAGAGGUGAGUGGAAUUCCGAGUGUAGAGGUGAAAUUCGUAGAUAUUCGGAGGAACACCAGUGGCGAAGGCGGCUCACUGGUCCAUUACUGACGCUGAGGUGCGGAAAGCGUGGGGAGCAA